CCUGCGACAGGUGAGACAAGAGAGAGACAGGUAGACAGACAGGUAGAGAGAGACAUGAGAGAGAGACAGGUAGAGAGAGACAGGAGAGAGAGACAGGUAGAGAGAGACAGGAGAGAGAGACAGGUAGAGAGAGACCGGUAGAGAGAGACAGGAGAGAGAGACAUGAGAGAGAGACAGGUAGAGAGAGACCGGUAGAGAGAGACAGGAGAGAGAGACAGGUAGAGAGAGACCGGUAGAGAGAGACAGGAGAGAGAGACAGGUAGAGAGAGACCGGUAGAGAGAGACAGGAGAGAGAGACAGGUAGAGAGAGACAGGUAGAGAGAGACAGGAGAGAGAGACAGGUAGAGAGAGACCGGUAGAGAGAGACAGGAGAGAGAGACAGGUAGAGAGAGACAGGAGAGAGAGACCGGAAGAGAGAGACCGGUAGAGAGAGACAGGAGAGAGAGACAGGUAGAGAGAGACAGGAGAGAGAGACAGGUAGAGAGAGACAGGAGAGAGAGACAGGUAGAGAGAGACCGGUAGAGAGAGACAUGAGAGAGAGACAGGUAGAGAGAGACAGGUAGAGAGAGACAUGAGAGAGAGACAGGAGAGAGAGACAGGUAGAGAGAGACAGGUAGAGAGAGACAUGAGAGAGAGACAGGAGAGAGAGACAGGUAGAGAGAGACAGGUAGAGAGAGACAUGAGAGAGAGACAGGAGAGAGAGACAGGUA